ACGUACACUCCUGCGGGAGGCAGCAGUGGGGAAUAUUGCACAAUGGGCGCAAGCCUGAUGCAGCCAUGCCGCGUGUAUGAAGAAGGCCUUCGGGUUGUAAAGUACUUUCAGCGGGGAGGAAGGCGAUAAGGUUAAUAACCUUGUUGAUUGACGUUACCCGCAGAAGAAGCACCGGCUAACUCCGUGCCAGCAGCCGCGGUAAUACGGAGGGUGCAAGCGUUAAUCGGAAUUACUGGGCGUAAAGCGCACGCAGGCGGUCUGUCAAGUCGGAUGUGAAAUCCCCGGGCUCAACCUGGGAACUGCAUUCGAAACUGGCAGGCUAGAGUCUUGUAGAGGGGGGUAGAAUUCCAGGUGUAGCGGUGAAAUGCGUAGAGAUCUGGAGGAAUACCGGUGGCGAAGGCGGCCCCCUGGACAAAGACUGACGCUCAGGUGCGAAAGCGUGGGGAGCAAACAGGAUUAGAAACCCUGGUAGUCCC
rnacentral:rRNA from 1 species